UACGGAAGGCAGCAGUGGGGAAUAUUGCACAAUGGGCGCAAGCCUGAUGCAGCCAUGCCGCGUGUAUGAAGAAGGCCUUCGGGUUGUAAAGUACUUUCAGUCGUGAGGAAGGUGUUAAGGUUAAUAACCUUAGCAAUUGACGUUAGCGACAGAAGAGGCACCGGCUAACUCCGUGCCAGCAGCCGCGGUAAUACGGAGGGUGCGAGCGUUAAUCGGAAUUACUGGGCGUAAAGGGCACGCAGGCGGUUAAUUAAGUUGGAUGUGAAAUCCCCGGGCUUAACCUGGAAAUGGCAUUCAAGACUGGUUAGCUAGAGUCUUGUAGAGGGGGUAGAAUUCCAUGUGUAGCGGUGAAAUGCGUAGAGAUGUGGAGGAAUACCGGUGGCGAAGGCGGCCCCUGGACAAAGACUGACGCUCAUGUGCGAAAGCGUGGGGAGCAAACAGGGAUUAGAU
rnacentral:rRNA from 1 species